GCCACAAUGGCCGAGUUGUUAAGGUUUGUAUUGAAGUUCCACAGGAAAAAAGCCCUCGUGGGUUCAAACCCCACUCCUGGUA